rnacentral:rRNA from 1 species
GACGAACCGUCCAAACGUUAUUCGGAAUUACUGGGCUUAAAGGGUGCGUAGGCGGCUCUGCAAGUUGGGUGUGAAAUCCCUCGGCUCAACCGAGGAAUGGCGCCCAAAACUGUGGAGCUCGAGGGAGACAGAGGUGAGUGGAACUUGUGGUGGAGCGGUGAAAUGCGUUGAUAUCACAAGGAACACCGGUGGCGAAAGCGGCUCACUGGGUCUCUUCUGACGCUGAGGCACGAAAGCUGGGGGAGCGAACGGGAUUAGAUACCCCGGUAGUCCCUGA